UACGUAGGGUGCAAGCGUUGUCCGGAAUUAUUGGGCGUAAAGCGUGCGCAGGCGGUUUUGUAAGCCAGAUGUGAAAUCCCCGGGCUUAACCUGGGAAUGGCAUUUGGGACUGCAAGGCUCGAGUGCGGCAGAGGAGACUGGAAUUCCUGGUGUAGCAGUGAAAUGCGUAGAUAUCAGGAGGAAUACCGAUGGCGAAGGCAGGUCUCUGGGCUAUAACUGACGCUCAUGCACGAAAGCGUGGGGAGCAAACAGG
rnacentral:rRNA from 1 species